UACGUAGGGUGCAAGCGUUAAUCGGAAUUACUGGGCGUAAAGCGUGCGCAGGCGGUUGUGCAAGACCGAUGUGAAAUCCCCGGGCUUAACCUGGGAAUGGCAUUGGUGACUGCACGGCUAGAGUGUGUCAGAGGGGGGUAGAAUUCCACGUGUAGCAGUGAAAUGCGUAGAUAUGUGGAGGAAUACCGAUGGCGAAGGCAGCCCCCUGGGUCAAGAUUGACGCUCAUGCACGAAAGCGUGGGGAGCAAACAGG
rnacentral:rRNA from 1 species